AGUGAACGCUGGCGGUAGGCCUAACACAUGCAAGUCGAACGGCAGCACAGUAAGAGCUUGCUCUUACGGGUGGCGAGUGGCGGACGGGUGAGGAAUACAUCGGAAUCUACUUUUUCUUGGGGGACAACGUAGGGAAACUUACGCUAAUACCGCAUACGACCUACGGGUGAAAGCAGGGGAUCUUCGGACCUUGCGCGAUUGAAUGAGCCGAUGUCGGAUUAGCUAGUUGGCGGGGUAAAGGCCCACCAAGGCGACGAUCCGUAGCUGGUCUGAGAGGAUGAUCAGCCACACUGGAACUGAGACACGGUCCAGACUCCUACGGGAGGCAGCAGUGGGGAAUAUUGGACAAUGGGCGCAAGCCUGAUCCAGCCAUACCGCGUGGGUGAAGAAGGCCUUCGGGUUGUAAAGCCCUUUUGUUGGGAAAGAAAAGCAGCAGGUUAAUACCCCGCUGUUCUGACGGUACCCAAAGAAUAAGCACCGGCUAACUUCGUG
rnacentral:rRNA from 1 species